UAAGGAGUUGCGAACGGGUGAGUAACGCGUAGGUAACCUACCUCAUAGCGGGGGAUAACUAUUGGAAACGAUAGCUAAUACCGCAUGACAAUAGGGUACACAUGUACCCUAUUUAAAAGGGGCAAAUGCUUCACUAUGAGAUGGACCUGCGUUGUAUUAGCUAGUUGGUAAGGUAACGGCUUACCAAGGCGACGAUACAUAGCCGACCUGAGAGGGUGAUCGGCCACACUGGGAAUGAGACACGGCCCAGACUC
rnacentral:rRNA from 1 species